GCGUGAGCCACCGUGCCCGGCCAGAUUAUUUUCUAAGAAAACAUUUUAUUAUGGAUUUCUAAAAAAAGUUAUUUUAGAUUCAGGGCAUGUGCAGGUUUGUUACAUGGGUGUAGUGAGUUAUGCUGAGCUUUGGGCUUCUAAUGAUCCUGUCACCCAAGUAGUGAACAUAGUACCCCAUAGGUAGUUUUCCAACCCUUCCCCUGUCUUCCGCCUUUUGGAGUCCCCAGUGUUUUUUGUUCCCAUCUUUGUGUCCAUGUGUACCCAAUGUUUAGCCUCCACUUAUAAAUGAGAACAUGCAUUAUUUGGUUUUUUGUUCCUGCGUCAGUUCACUUAGGGUACUGGCCUCCAGCUGCAUCCAUGUUGCUGCAAAGGACAUAGUUUUGUUCUCUUUGUGGCUGCGUAGUAUUCCAUGGUGUAUACAUACUACAGUUUCUUUAUUCAAUCCACCAUUGAUGGGCACCUGGGUUGAUUCCAUUUCUUUGCUAUUGUUAAUAGUGCUGCAAUAAAUAUAUGAGUGCAGAUGUCUUUUUGACAGAACAAUUUAUUUUCCUUUGGGUAUAUACCAAGUAAUGGGAUUGUUGGGUCUAAUGCUAGUUCUAUUUUUAGUUCUUUGAGAAAUCUCCAAACUGCUUUCCACAGGGGCUGAACUAAUUUGCAUUCCCACCAACAGUGUAGAAGUGUUCACUUUUCUCCACAACCAUGCCAAAGUCUGUUAUUUUUUGACUUUUUAAUAAUAGUCGUUCUGACUGAUGUGAAAUGGAGUCUCUUUGUGGUUCUGAUUUGCAUCUCUGAUGAUGCAUGAUGUUGACCAGUUUUUAAUAUGUUUGUUGACUGCUUGUAUGUCUUCUUUUAAGAAGUGUCUGUUCAUAUCCUUUGCCCUUUCGCUUCUAUGCACCAAUAACACCCAGGCUGAGAGUCAAACCAAGAACACAAUCCUGACUACAGUAGCCAUAAAGAAAAUGAAAUACCUGGGAAUACACCUAAUCAAAAACAUGAAAGCACUCUCUAGAGGGAGAACUACAAAACAUUGCUGAAAGAAAUCAGAGAUGAUUCUCUGAAAAAGAAGUCAGAUUAGAAAUGAUUCUCUGAAAAAGAAAUCAUCUCUGAUUUCUUUCAGCAGUGUGUUUUUUGUUUGUUUGUUUGUUUUGAGACAGAGUCUUGCUCUGUCGCCAAGGCUGGAGGGCAAUGGCAUGAUUUCAGCUCACUACAACCUCCUGCUCCUGGGUUCGAGCGAUUCUCCUACCUCAGCCUCCCGAGUAGCUGGGAUUACAGGUGCGCACCACCAUGCCCAGCUAAUUUUUGUAUUUUAGUAGAGACGAAGUUUCACUAUGUUGGCCAGGCUGGUCUGAAACUCCUGGCCUCAGGUGAUCCACCCACCUCAGCCUCCCAAAGUGCUGGGAUUACAGGUAUGAGCCACUGCCCCUGGCCUCAAAAUCUUUAAGGAAGUUAUUUAUCGUCACAAGUGUUGUCAUCUGUGACUCAUGGGCCACUUGAUGAACCUGAACCAUUAGUGGUUGUCCAGAUCCUCCAACUUUUUCAGGCAGUAUUCCAAUCAGGGUUUUACGACACCAGGGUAUCCCACCUUUUUUGCAACAUAGGCAGAAACACCAAGCUGUGGGUAAUUGAUGUGCGUGUCACUGAUUCCUGCAACAGCUUUGAAUGUAUUAAAUCUGUUUUCAACAGCCCUUGCAUAGGUGUUAUCUCUCAAAUCUCUGUAAAGAGCACUAAGAGUAUGUAGUGUUGCAUGAUAUAAUCCAAGCCUGUGGGCUGUGUCAUCCGGGAUUGUUGGAAUUUUGCAUGUGUCUGUUCCAUAUCCCGCUGGUAACCAGCUUACAGACCUUCUGUCAGGUUGGCUUACAUUAUCAUCAACAGGUUGCCGUAGUGAUGAUAUGAUGCUGGACACAAUCAUUGUGCACUUUGUUAAUUUGGUAUGGUGGUGCCACACAUUAUCACUGUACAGCAUUAACAAGGCUGGAAUAUGGCCCUCUGCUGUAGGGGGCGUGGCACCUGUGACUUGCACUGGAAUAAGUAGGAGGCUUUCCCCAAAGGAUAUGGAGACUGAUGUGUGCUCCAUAUCUUGAGGGGAGCUCUCUUGGUUUCCUUUGGCCGGGUCUGUUAGUUACUUUUGAAGGCCAUGCCAACCCUUUUAGGCCAUUAAAUUUUUCUCAAACAAUAGCCAGCCUCAUUUCUGCUUCAUCUCUGUGGUAGGAACCAUUCCCUACUCUUACUCCCUCCUCUUGUCCAACUUCCACCAAACACUCAAUCCGAGUCCUGGCUGCUUUCUUGCUUAGGUCUGUGGCUGGUCACUGUGGUGAAAGAGUCAAGGUGGGCAGUGUUUGGGGUAGGAAAUGAGUAGUGGUGAAGCAGCAGCAGUGUGUGUGUGGGUGUGGGUGUGUGUGCAUGCGUGUGCAUUUGCAUGUGUGUAUGUUGACAAAUGAGAGUGUAGCCAUAAGAUUUCAUUGUUACUACUAGUCUUUGUGUACCUAUCUGGAGGGACAUUAAAAAAAUAUGGCCAUUCUCCCAUCUAGGGGGUUCCCAUCUCAGACUUCUCUGAUAAGAGUAAUUUGAGAACAAAUACAGAUUCAUCUAUGGGAAAAGAUGUUUAAACUCAGCAUGAAGGAGAAACAAAUUUAGGAGUGGAAAGCAAGGCAGGUAGUUAGGUGAUUUCCAUGACCACAUUUGCUUGGGCCAGGGAAGUGGUGCACCUCUUUUAUAACAAUGGGAGAUUUCAGAAACAGUUUGAGUGUUGGCAGACCAAUGCCCUGAUAAGCUUGUGGUAUAGAGGUAGGAAGGGAGGGAGGCCAGAGAUUAGAUAAAAUGAUGGUGGGUGGGAUCUUAGCUCUAAAUGAAAAGAACUGGACUUACUAAGUGGGUGGAUUACUUGCUAGCCAUAACUUUUAGGGAAGGGUAGGUCUGGAGAGAAGGUGAAGACCAGCAGAAAUAUACUGUGAAAUUGCCAAAUAUGUUUGGUUGCAGAAAACACAGCCUGGCUCUUUGUGGCUAGAUGUGACUUCCAACUUCUGAAGACAGGAUUGCCAAGAGAUGUGAUCUUUCCACAUACAGCUCCUGUCCCCAUCUCUUUAUGUGUAGAGACCUGGAUUUGGGGUAGUGGGGUAGUAAACCAUAUAUUUCCAAAAGAUGGUGUGAAGAGUCGUUUCUCUUCGUCUGGGAUGUGAUUGGCUUUUGUUUUUUGUUUUUUGUUUUUGAGACGGAGUCUCGCUCUGUCGCUUUGUCACCAGGCUGGAGUGCAAUGGCACAAUCUCAGCUCACUGCAACCUCCGCCUCCUGGCUUCAAGUGAUUCUCCUGCCUCAGCCUCCUGAGUAGCUGGGACUAUAGGCGCGCACCACCAUGCCCAGCUAAUUUUUGUAUUUUUAGUAGAGAUGGGAUUUCACCAUGUUGGCCAGGAUGGUCUUGAUCUCUUGACCUCAUGAUCCACCCGCCUUGGCCUCCCAAAGUGCUGGGAUUACAGGCUUGAGCUACUGCGCCCGGCCAGUGAUUGGCUUUUAAAUUAAUCACAAAUGUUUGAUAAAAUUCUGGUAUGUGCUAAGUCCCAGGCUUGGUUGAUAUCUCAGACUAUGAUAGCUGUGACCUUCAAGAAAUUUCUGGCUUGGGGAAUCUGUAGUUUCUGGUUGUCCAAAAAAGAUAGUUCUUAGUCCUACUUUAUUUUCUACCCACUCAACUCUCCAGACUUCCCUCUUAGUAAAGGAAUUCAUAAUUCUCCCUGCAUCUUCUCUGUUUAUUUCAAUGUCCAUGUUCUGAGUCUCAAGUUUUCCUGAAGCACAGGAGCAGGCUUGGCCCCAGAGCCCCUGGCUUUUUCAACGAGCAUCAGAAAUGCUAUCAAUAUAUUCUCUCUGUUGCUUUAUCAGCUUCUCUAAAUUUAUUUUGUAAGGAAGUUAGCACCUCCUUCCAGGACUUUAAACAGUUGUCUUUGCCAAUUUGUUCCUGGAUUUUCCUUGAACUUCUCAGGUUUCCAAGCCACAUCCUAGCAGGGCAUCCAGGAGCCUUGCACUGAACCUCUCAGCUCUUUUGACUUUCUUCUGGUCAUAGGUGUUGGGCCUCCCAUUAGGUAGAAGUCCUUUGAGCAGACCCGAAAUGGCCAAAUGAGACAUCAUCCAAGUUCCUCCCUCCUUUACUGUCUCGGCUUUUUCAAGCACCCCUUUCACCUCUCUUUUCUGCCUUUUCCUCAGUCUGUCAAGUUCUUUGGAGGAAAGAAGUUCUUGGUCAGAGGUCCUAAAACCACCACCAGCUGGGGGUGCUGAGAAUGGUGAGGAGUUGGACAGUCCCGGGGCUUUUUUGAAAGGGGACUUUAUGGUCAUUUCCCCUGUUUAGGGUGAGGGACUAAGAAUUCUCAAGCCUUCAGUUUCAUCCAUAUUUCAAUGUAAGCAGAAAAGCACAUCUCAAAGCCAAAUAGAAAUGAUUUUCUACUAAGCCUAUCCUUUGUGAUUCUUGGUUCCCUUGGUCUCUUAAUAUUAAUUAUAGAGAAUGGGCAGUUGAGUCAGUUAACAUCUUUUCAUCAGAAAGGAGGGUAAUAUUCAUAACCAAAAGAGAUGUAAAGGAAGUAUAUUACUGCUUGAAGUGUGAAAAGAGGAAAGGAGUGUUAUGUGAACCUUUUCAGUAGGGAAAUUCAGAAAAUGGAAUGAUUCAUCCAUAGGCAUAAUUCUUUUAGGAGAUUCUGUGCUCAAAGGGAAGGGAAUGGUUUCUGAUCCUUCUGAAGAGAAAAGGAAUAGCAUUUUUCUUAAACCUAACCCAGUUUCAGCAUUGGAGAAUACAGAACUUUUUCUUCUAGCUGAUGGCAUUAAUAUUUCUUGAGAGAGAGAACUCACCCAUGGCACUUUUCUGAGCCCAGCAGAAAUCAGCGGAGCUUGGGCUUCGCUUAGCAGGUUUGCAAUUGACUUCAACAUGCAGGCUUUUCACAUGUGCAAUAAUGCUGGAAACAGAAGCACCAAACUGAUUGUGCAAUUACUCCUUUUGUAGAAGAGGCCAAAAUCCUCCUCCUCCUUCCUUUCUCCUAUAUUCACUCCUCCAGGAUCAUAAAGCCUCCCUCUUGUUUAUCUGUGUCUGUCUGUCUGAUUGGUUAGAUUUGGCUGCCCUUCCAAGCUAAUGGUGUCAGGUGGAGAACAGAGCAACCUUCCCUCGGAAGGAGACAAUUCGAGGUGCUGGUACAUUUCCCUUGUUUUCUAUGUUCUUCUUUCUAGUGGGUCUCAUGUAGAGAUAGAGAUAUUUUUUUGUUUUAGAGAUUCCAAAGUAUAUAUUUUUAGUGUAAGAAAUGUACCCUCUCCACACUCCAUGAUGUAAAUAGAACCAGGAAUAAAUGUGUCAUUGUGAUAAUCCCAUAGCAAUUUAUGGUAAGAACAAGACCCCUUUCCCUCACCACCGAGUCUCGUGGUCUGUGUCUGUGAACCAGGGCAGGUAAUUGUGACACUGCAUCUCAUAGAACUCUGCCUGCCCAGAUUUUUGUGUGCUCACCUCAAUGGGUGAAAAAUAAAGUCUGUGUAAACUGUU
rnacentral:lncRNA from 1 species